UAGGUCGGGUUUCCCGACAUAUGAACAUAAAGUUGGCCAUGUUCGUUGUCGUUGAAACCUGAACUAUG